CUUGGGUGGGGGGGUCCCUCAGCACAAAUUGCAAGAUGGCACAGGCCAGGCCGAGGGACCCCACCGGUGCAUG
rfam:Myotis davidii contig76116, whole genome shotgun sequence.